GGCCAUGUAGCCCAGUUGGCUAUAGCGUUGGCUGUACUAAAGCCUUCCCCUUGCUGGCGUGGGUUCGAAUCCCACCGAGGCCG
rfam:Schistocephalus solidus strain NST_G2 genome assembly, scaffold: SSLN_scaffold0001241